GGGAAUCUUCCGCAAUGGGCGAAAGCCUGACGGAGCAACGCCGCGUGAGUGAAGAAGGCCUUCGGGCCGUAAAGCUCUGUUGCCGGGGAAGAGUGCUAUGGGGGAACCUGUAGAGGGACGGUACCCGGCGAGGAAGCCGCGGCUAACUACGUGCCAGCAGCCGCGGUAAUACGUAGGCGGCAAGCGUUGUCCGGAAUCAUUGGGCGUAAAGGGGGCGCAGGCGGGAACAUAAGUCUUUCCUGAAAGUUCGGGGCUCAGCCCCGUGAUGGGAAGGAAACUGUGUUUCUUGAGCGCGGGAGAGGGAAGCGGAAUUCCUGGUGUAGCGGUGAAAUGCGUAGAUAUCAGGAAGAACACCAGUGGCGAAGGCGGCCUCCUGGACCGCGGCUGACGCUGAGGCCCGAAAGCCAGGGGAGCGAACG
rnacentral:rRNA from 1 species